UACGAGAGGCGCAAACGUUAUUCGGAAUUACUGGGCUUAAAGAGUUCGUAGGCGGCGCAGAAAGUAGGGUGUGAAAGCCCUCGGCUCAACCGAGGAAUUGCGCUCUAAACUACUGUGCUUGAGGGACCUAGAGGUGAGCGGAACUGAUGGUGGAGCGGUGAAAUGCGUAGAUAUCGAGAGGAACACCUGCGGCGAAGGCGGGUUGCUGGGCUGAUACUGACGCUGAGGCGCGAAAGCCAGGGGAGCGAACGGG
rnacentral:rRNA from 1 species